rnacentral:rRNA from 1 species
UCCCAGACUCCUACGGGAGGCAGCAGUGGGGAAUAUUGCACAAUGGGGGAAACCCUGAUGCAGCGACGCCGCGUGAGUGAAGAAGUAUUUCGGUAUGUAAAGCUCUCUCAGCAGGGAAGAAAUAGCGACCUUUGGGUCGCCAGACGGUACCUGAUUAAGAAGCCCCGGCUAACUACGUGCCAGCAGCCGCGGUAAUACGUAGGGGGCAAGCGUUAUCCGGAUUUACUGGGUGUAAAGGGAGCGUAGACGGCCAUGCAAGCUCGGUGUGAAAGGUGCGGGCACAACCCGCAGACUGCACUGAGAACUGUAUGGCUGGAGUGCCGGAGGGGCAGGCGGAAUUCCUGGUGUAGCGGUGAAAUGCGUAGAUAUCAGGAGGAACACCGGUGGCGAAGGCGGCCUGCUGGACGGCGACUGACGUUGAGGCUCGAAAGCGUGGGGAGCAAACAGGAUUAGAUACCCGCGUACC